GAUGAACGCUAGCGGCAGGCCUAACACAUGCAAGUCGAGGGGUAGAAGUUGCUUGCAACUUUGAGACCGGCGCACGGGUGCGUAACGCGUAUGCAAUCUGCCUUGUACUGAGGGAUAGCACAGAGAAAUUUGGAUUAAUACCUCAUAGCAUUAUGAUGUUGCAUCACAUUAUAAUUAAAGUUACAACGGUAAAAGAUGAGCAUGCGUCCCAUUAGUUAGUUGGUAAGGUAACGGCUUACCAAGACGAUGAUGGGUAGGGGUCCUGAGAGGGAGAUCCCCCACACUGGUACUGAGACACGGACCAGACUCCUACGGGAGGCAGCAGUGAGGAAUAUUGGUCAAUGGGCGCAAGCCUGAACCAGCCAUGCCGCGUGCAGGAUGACGCAUCUAUGGUGUGUAAACUGCUUUUGUACAGGAAGAAACACUCCCUCGUGAGGGAGCUUGCCGGUACUGUAAGAAUAAGGAUCGGCUAACUCCGUGCCAGCCGCCGCUGUAA
rnacentral:rRNA from 1 species